rnacentral:rRNA from 1 species
AGUUUGAUCCUGGCUCAGGAUGAACGCUGGCGGCAUGCCUAAUACAUGCAAGUCGAACGAGAGGAAGGAAAGCUUGCUUUUCUGAAUCUAGUGGCGAACGGGUGAGUAACACGUAGGUAACCUGCCCAUGUGCCCGGGAUAACUUCUGGAAACGGAUGCUAAAACCGGAUAGGUAGCAGACAAGCAUUUGACUGCUAUUAAAGUGGCCUUGGCCAUGAACAUGGAUGGACCUGCGGUGCAUUAGCUGGUUGGUGAGGUAACGGCCCACCAAGGCGACGAUGCAUAGCCGGCCUGAGAGGGCGGACGGCCACAUUGGGACUGAGACACGGCCCAAACUCCUACGGGAGGCAGCAGUAGGGAAUUUUCGUCAAUGGGGGGAACCCUGAACGAGCAAUGCCGCGUGAGUGAGGAAGGUCUUCGGAUCGUAAGGCUCUGUUGUAAGAGAAAAACGGCACUCAUAGGGAAUGAUGAGUGAGUGAUGGUAUCUUACCAGAAAGUCACGGCUAACUACGUGCCAGCAGCCGCGGUAAUACGUAGGUGGCGAGCGUUAUCCGGAAUGAUUGGGCGUAAAGGGUGCGUAGGUGGCAGAUCAAGUCUGGAGUAAAAGGUAUGGGCUCAACCCGUACUGGCUCUGGAAACUGAUCAGCUAGAGAACAGAAGAGGACGGCGGAACUCCAUGUGUAGCGGUG